AACAAACGCUGGCGGCGUGCCUAAUACACGCGAGUCGAACGGGGAAAGCUUUCGGGUGAGUACUAGUGGCGCACGGGUGAGUAACGCGUGGAUAAUCUGCCUUAGAGUGGGGGAUAACUAGUCGAAAGAUUAGCUAAUACCGCAUAAGACCACAAGAACUGCGGUUCAAGGGGUCAAAGGUUUUUCGCUCUAAGAUGAGUCCGCGUAAGAUUAGCUAGUUGGUAGGGUAACGGCCUACCAAGGCGACGAUCUUUAACUGGUCUGAGAGGAUGAUCAGUCACACUGGAACUGAGACACGGUCCAGACUCCUACGGGAGGCAGCAGUAGGGAAUAUUGCACAAUGGAGGAAACUCUGAUGCAGCGACGCCGCGUGAGUGAUGAAGGCCUCGGGUCGUAAAGCUCUGUCGCAGGGGAAUAACACAAUGAAGGUACCCUGUAAGAAAGGAUCGGCUAACUUCGUGCCAGCCGCCGCCGUAAAAC
rnacentral:rRNA from 1 species